UACGUAGGGGGCAAGGGUUGUCCGGAUUUAUUGGGGGUAAAGAGUGUGUAGGCGGUUAGGUAGGUCCGUUGUGAAAACUCGAGGCUCAACCUCGAGACGUCGAUGGAAACCAUCUAGCUAGAGUCCGGAAGAGGAGAGUGGAAUUCCUGGUGUAGCGGUGAAAUGCGCAGAUAUCAGGAAGAACACCCGUGGCGAAGGCAGCUCUCUGGUACGUGACUGACGCUGAGACGCGAAAGCGUGGGGAGCAAACAGG
rnacentral:rRNA from 1 species